GCUGCCCAGUGAAAAAAAAUUCAAAGUGGAAAUUUUAGAGCAUUAGUGCUAGCUUUUAGCUUUUUGUGCUUGAGCAAUUCUAGGUAUUGGUAACAAGAAGUGUAAGGUUCCUGGAAGAAGUCUUAAGACUCAUAAUACCAAUGCAGGAAUGUGCUUGAACACACCAAAGAAAACCCAUACAACACCAAAAUGGACAGAUGAUUGAUUAGCCACAUAACUAGCCCCUCAGGAAAGAAACAGCAAAGUUUCUGGAUGACUACAGACUGAAGGAGUUGACUGUCAGAGCUGUACAGCUGUUCAUUUUUCUAUUACAGAAAAGAUGGCCCCAGCUGUAAAUGGCAGGGUGUGCAGAGCAAUGGGUGCCCUUGCAGCUGUGAAGAUGUCACUUGCAGAUGAGAUAGUGUUGCCUGUUUCUGCAGUGUUUGCAUAGCUCAUACACUGUCAGCAGAGAGAGACAUAUUCAAAGGGCUCACUUUGAACUAAGGUUUCAUAAUGCUAAACUGCUUGUGAAGUGCACAGAAAGGGAGCCUAACCUGAUGCACAUUGUAGUGGUUUGAUCUCGGCUGGAUGCCAGGACUCACCAAAGCCAUUCUAGCACAUCCCUCCACAACUGGACACGGGAGAGAAAAGAGUUCAUGGGCGGAGGGAGAAGAGUCCUCCCCCUGCUCCAGUGUGGGGUCCCUCCCACAGGAGACAGCUCUCCAUAAACUUCUCCAAUGUGAGUCCAUCCCACGGGCAACAGUCCUCCCCACACUCUGGCAAUGUGGGUCACUCUUCCAUGUGGUUUGGUCCUGCAGGCACAGCCUGCUCCAGCCUGGGUUCCCCACAGGGUUGCAAAUCCUACCAGGAAUCCUGUUCUAGUGUCAGCUUCUCUCUGAAGGGCUGCAGGUCUUGUUUUCCCUUUUCAGGUCUUGAAGAAGGGGGGCAAAAUAUAUGUGGAAGGUUGGACCUGUUUCCACAACAAAAAUGAGGCAGGAGGAACCUGGAGUGAACAGCCAGGCAACUGGAGGGUUUGAUCAAUCCUCCUUCAGCCUGGCUAUUCCCUCAGCUACAGAGGAAACUCUUGCUCUCUAGGGCAAUCUGCCUAGGUAAGCUGUUUAUCCUUUUUCUGAUGUGUUCCUCUGUGGUGGAGGAAAAUUCAGGGUGAGGUACAUCAAAAGGAAAUGCCUUUUGGAGUCAGCUGAAGGAGUGGAUAGAUUUGCGUGUCAAAAAAGGGAGCAACUUAGCAUAUGAAACUCUCUAAUGCAUUAAAAAUGGGACAGUCAUUCAUGCUGUAAAUCCAGACGGAGGUGAAGGAGGAAAGUAGAAUAAUGGAGGCAUCUACAAAAGUAGCUUUUGCAUUGCAAGACAUUGCAGUACCUAUUCUAAGUUCUGUGAGGUUGUGUUCUGCAAGGUGAAUUCUAUGUGCCUGCUUUGUUUUUUUUCACCACCUAUAAAGGAAAUUUUUCUGUUUCUUUUAAUUUAGGAUAUUUUGGCAAUUUUCUGCUUCCCUUUAUUUCCAGAAGGACCAAAAAACUGGAGUGAAAUAAAGACAUACCUUAAUUUUA